GCAACUGGCAGCGAGCGGCAGCAAGCCCGCCGCCCCCUGCUGCGAUUCCGAAGCAUAACGCAAAAUGCCUUCUAAGGAUUUUGCAAAUCCCACCUAGGAGGUGAAGCGGUGUUAAGUCGACCUUUUCUUUCCAGGGGGCGGCAGGGUCCGGAAAGAGAAAGGACGCGUCGGCUUAGACAGCCCCCCCCAACUUCCGUACACACACACCGCCUAGCCCGCCCCGGGUGCUCACCCCCACCUCAGAAGUCCAGUGGAAGAGAAGUGGAGAAACUCCGCUUUCCAGAGCCCAGCGACUAGUGUCUGAAAGGGAGGCCUGGGGAUGAGUGCAGCAAGGCGGCCGCAAGGCUUCCGGGCUGACUCAGAAGGAAAGUAUCACAGCCACCGGUGGGAAGAGAGUCAGUGGAUGGAUCCUGGGCAUGACCUUGCUCCUUAGUGACCCGUGACAGUCACCCUGGAGUGCCUGGUACAGGGCUCCGGAGAGAGUUGGACACCGCCAUCAAUGGCCAGGAAGUGACUGAGAUGGUCAGAAGUGUGUCACCUGUGCUGUCCUCGCGCAUUACUAAGAACAGUUAUGUGGAUGGAAUACCAAAGUUAACAACCAGGUGCUCUUUACUCGGUUACUGAACUGGACGGAGAAGAGAGGGAAUCCAAAACUGAGGUCAGCUGCCUUAUUGAUUUAGUCAGGAGGGAGAAAGUUGUCCCAGCCAGAGCACCCAGGAUGUCCAGCUGGCUGCCUUCAGGAUCUUACGUCUUGGGAAGCAGUGGGUCAACACCUAGCAUUACUUGUUGAAGUCGAACAAGGAUUUAUUUACUGAUCAGACAGAAUUUUUUUAAAUGUAUAUUUCCUGCUAAGAAUGGAAUUAAAAGGCAGCUAAUCCUGGCAGAAAUUGCUGAUUCCGUGUCUGAAGACAAGAAAUGUAAAGAUGAGUUCAGAACACUUUGUCAUACCAGAAAGCAGGGAAUAACCAAAUAUUGCUAGCGUCAUGCCGGGAUGACCUUGGAGUGAAGCCGAAGAGGCUCCCAGUGGAUCUAUAAAUUCACAGUGUCACUCAAAAGAAACAAACUUCGUAGGCCAUGUUGGAAGAUGUUAAAAGAACCGUCUUAUUUUGAGAACUGACAGAAAAGAAAUCGUGUAUUUUGGUGUUCCUAAAUGAAUUGUACUUUCGAGUAACCAAAUAGCUGAUGGAAUAAUUUUUCCUUAUGGGAGUAUUCCAGCUAAUAAUAACUCUUGGUAAUGAUUAUCGACAGCUUGUGAUAUCACAAAAAGAGACAAGCUGACACUAUAUGCCUCCUGAUGGAAAUACACAGUCCUAUGAAAUCAUGUUGCCCAAAAUUUGAACCUGAUUCUGAUCGUGCUUCUAGAUGUAACUAGCAAUUUUCAGAAAAUACAGUGAAGUAUUAAGUGGCCCUGUAAGGACCUAAGCAGCAAAAUGCAGGCUAUAGGGGACA